UACAGAGGUCUCAAGCGUUGUUCGGAAUUACUGGGCGUAAAGCGCGCGUAGGCGGAUCUGCAAGUCGGGGGUGAAAUCCCGAGGCUCAACCUCGGAACUGCCUUCGAUACUGCGGGUCUCGAGUCCGGGAGAGGUGAGUGGAAUUCCUAGUGUAGAGGUGAAAUUCGUAGAUAUUAGGAAGAACACCAGUGGCGAAGGCGGCUCACUGGCCCGGUACUGGACGCUGAGGCGCGAAAGCGUGGGGAGCAAACAGGG
rnacentral:rRNA from 1 species